rnacentral:rRNA from 1 species
GCUUGUCUCAAAGAUUAAGCCAUGCAUGUUCAAGUAUAGCAAGUGUACAGUGAAACUGCGAAUGGCUCAUUAAAUCAGUUAUAAUUUAUUUGAUAGUGAAAUUGUACAUGGAUAACCGUGGCAAUUCUAGAGCUAAUACAUGCGUCAAAACCCAACUUCUGGGAGGGUUGUAUUUAUUAGAUGGAAACCAAUGCGGGGCAACCCGGUAUAUGGUGAUUCAUAAUAACUUUCGGAUCGAUCUUCGGAUCGAUGCAUCAUUCAAGUUUCUGCCCUAUCAGCUUUGGAUGGUAGGGUAUUGGCCUACCAUGGCUUUAACGGGUAACGGAGAAUUAGGGUUCGAUUCCGGAGAGGGAGCCUGAGAAAUGGCUACCACAUCCAAGGAAGGCAGCAGG